GGCAGCACGAUGUAGCAAUACAUUGGUGGCGACCGGCGCACGGGUGAGUAACGCGUAUGCAACCUACCUAUCAGAGGGGAAUAACCCGGCGAAAGUCGGACUAAUACCGCAUAAAACAGGGGUUCCACAUGGAAAUAUUUGUUAAAGAAUUAUCGCUGAUAGAUGGGCAUGCGUUCCAUUAGAUAGUUGGUGAGGUAACGGCUCACCAAGUCCACGAUGGAUAGGGGUUCUGAGAGGAAGGUCCCCCACACUGGUACUGAGACACGGACCAGACUCCUACGGGAGGCGGCAGUGAGGAAUAUUGGUCAAUGGGCGAGAGCCUGAACCAGCCAAGUCGCGUGAAGGAUGAAGGAUCUAUGGUUUGUAAACUUCUUUUAUAUGGGAAUAAAGUGAGGAACGUGUUCCUUUUUGUAUGUACCAUAUGAAUAAGCAUCGGCUAACUCCGUGCCAGCAGCCGCGGUAAUACGGAGGAUGCGAGCGUUAUCCGGAUUUAUUGGGUUUAAAGGGUGCGUAGGUGGUUAAUUAAGUCAGCGGUGAAAGUUUGUGGCUCAACCAUAAAAUUGCCGUUGAAACUGGUUGACUUGAGUAUAUUUGAGGUAGGCGGAAUGCGUGGUGUAGCGGUGAAAUGCAUAGAUAUCACGCAGAACUCCGAUUGCGAAGGCAGCUUACUAAACUAUAACUGACACUGAAGCACGAAAGCGUGGGGAUCAAACAGGAUUAGAUACCCUGGUAGUCCACGCAGUAAACGAUGAUUACUAGCUGUUUGCGAUACACAGUAAGCG
rnacentral:rRNA from 1 species